CCCGGAAUCCCGCCAGACCCGCGGCAGAGACGGGGGACCCAGAGUUCCCGGGCCUGUUCCCCGCAGGCCCUUGGGGUGAAGCCGCCACGUGCGGCCGGACGGCCUCGUCCGAACCCGACAGCUAACCUCGCAGGCGUUGAGAGGCAAAUA
rnacentral:sRNA from 2 species